CGUCGGGGGUGCUAUACAUGCAGUCGAGCGGACCUUUGGAGCUUGCUCCAUUGGUUUAGCGGCGGACGGGUGAGUAACACGUGGGCAACCUGCCCUGCAGAUCGGGAUAACUCCGGGAAACCGGUGCUAAUACCGAAUAGUUUUUUGCCCCUCCUGGGGCGAAACGGAAAGACGGUUUCGGCUGUCACUGCAGGAUGGGCCCGCGGCGCAUUAGCUAGUUGGUGGGGUAAUGGCCCACCAAGGCGACGAUGCGUAGCCGACCUGAGAGGGUGAUCGGCCACACUGGGACUGAGACACGGCCCAGACUCCUACGGGAGGCAGCAGUAGGGAAUCUUCCGCAAUGGACGCAAGUCUGACGGAGCAACGCCGCGUGAGUGACGAAGGUUUUCGGAUCGUAAAACUCUGUUGUGAGGGAAGAACAAGUACCAACUAACUACUGGUACCUUGACGGUACCUCACCAGAAAGCCACGGCUAACUACGUGCCAGCAGCCGCGGUAAUACGUAGGUGGCAAGCGUUGU
rnacentral:rRNA from 1 species